rnacentral:rRNA from 1 species
GUAGGGAAUCUUGCGCAAUGGGCGAAAGCCUGACGCAGCCAUGCCGCGUGAAUGAUGAAGGUCUUAGGAUUGUAAAAUUCUUUCACCGGGGACGAUAAUGACGGUACCCGGAGAAGAAGCCCCGGCUAACUUCGUGCCAGCAGCCGCGGUAAUACGAAGGGGGCUAGCGUUGCUCGGAAUUACUGGGCGUAAAGGGAGCGUAGGCGGAUAGUUUAGUCAGAGGUGAAAGCCCAGGGCUCAACCUUGGAAUUGCCUUUGAUACUGGCUAUCUUGAGUGUGGAAGAGGUAUGUGGAACUCCGAGUGUAGAGGUGAAAUUCGUAGAUAUUCGGAAGAACACCAGUGGCGAAGGCGACAUACUGGUCCAUUACUGACGCUGAGGCUCGAAAGCGUGGGGAGCAAACAGGAUUAGAAACCCUUGUAGUCC